UAACUUCGGGAAACCGGAGCUAAUACCGGAUAAUAUUUCGAACCGCAUGGUUCGAUAGUGAAAGGUGGUUUUGCUAUCACUUAUAGAUGGACCCGCGCCGUAUUAGCUAGUUGGUAAGGUAACGGCUUACCAAGGCGACGAUACGUAGCCGACCUGAGAGGGUGAUCGGCCACACUGGAACUGAGACACGGUCCAGACUCCUACGGGAGGCAGCAGUC
rnacentral:rRNA from 1 species